CGGGUGAGUAACACGUGGGCAAUCUGCCCUGCACUCUGGGACAAGCCCUGGAAACGGGGUCUAAUACCGGAUACUGACCCUCGCAGGCAUCUGCGAGGUUCGAAAGCUCCGGCGGUGCAGGAUGAGCCCGCGGCCUAUCAGCUUGUUGGUGAGGUAAUGGCUCACCAAGGCGACGACGGGUAGCCGGCCUGAGAGGGCGACCGGCCACACUGGGACUGAGACACGGCCCAGACUCCUACGGGAGGCAGCAGUGGGGAAUAUUGCACAAUGGGCGAAAGCCUGAUGCAGCGACGCCGCGUGAGGGAUGACGGCCUUCGGGUUGUAAACCUCUUUCAGCAGGGAAGAAGCGAAAGUGACGGUACCUGCAGAAGAAGCGCCGGCUAACUACGUGCCAGCAGCCGCGGUAAUAC
rnacentral:rRNA from 1 species